CCUACGGGAGGCAGCAGUGAGGAAUAUUGGUCAAUGGGCGCAAGCCUGAACCAGCCAAGUCGCGUGAGGGAUGACGGUCCUAUGGAUUGUAAACCUCUUUUGUCGGGGAGCAAGGCCCGCCACGUGUGGCGGGAAGGAGAGUACCCGAAGAAAAAGCAUCGGAUAACUCCGUGCCAGCAGCCGCGGUAAGACGGGGGAUGCGAGCGUUAUCCGGAUUUAUUGGGUUUAAGGGGUGCGUAGGCGGAAGGUUAAGUCAGCGGUAAAAUGUCGGUGCUCAACACCGGCCGGCCGUUGAAACUGGUCUUCUUGAGUGAGCGAGAAGUAUGCGGAAUGCGUGGUGUAGCGGUGAAAUGCAUAGAUAUCACGCAGAACUCCGAUUGCGAAGGCAGCAUACCGGCGCUCAACUGACGCUGAGGCACGAAAGCGUGGGGAUCGAACAGGAUUAGAUACCCCAGUAGUC
rnacentral:rRNA from 1 species